rnacentral:rRNA from 1 species
ACCCGCACAAGCGGUGGAUGAUGUGGAUUAAUUCGAUGCAACGCGAAAACCUUACCUACCCUUGACAUGUCCGGAAUCCUGCAGAGAUGCGGGAGUGCCCGAAAGGGAAUCGGAACACAGGUGCUGCAUGGCUGUCGUCAGCUCGUGUCGUGAGAUGUUGGGUUAAGUCCCGCAACGAGCGCAACCCUUAUCAUUAGUUGCUACGCAAGGGCACUCUAAUGAGACUGCCGGUGACAAACCGGAGGAAGGUGGGGAUGACGUCAAGUCCUCAUGGCCCUUAUGGGUAGGGCUUCACACGUCAUACAAUGGUCGGUACAGAGGGUUGCCAAGCCGCGAGGUGGAGCCAAUCCCAGAAAGCCGAUCGUAGUCCGGAUUGUUCUCUGCAACUCGAGAGCAUGAAGUCGGAAUCGCUAGUAAUCGCAGGUCAGCAUACUGCGGUGAAUACGUUCCCGGGUCUU